UAAUACGGAGGUCCCAAGCGUUGUUCGGAUUUACUGGGCGUAAAGCGUGCGUAGGCGGCGAGGCAAGUUUGGCGUGAAAGCUCCGGGCCCAACCCGGAAAAUGCGCUGGAAACUGCCUCACUAGAGGUAUGGAGGGGAGUCUGGAAUUCCUGGUGUAGCAGUGAAAUGCGUAGAUAUCAGGAGGAACACCAAUGGCGAAGGCAAGACUCUGGACAUAUCCUGACGCUGAGGCACGAAGGCCAGGGGAGCGAAGAGGAUUAGAUACCCUCGUAGUCCUGGCAGUAAACGGUGUGCACUUGCUGUAGGCGGAUUCGACCCCGUCUGUGGCGAAGCUAACGCGUUAAGUGCACCGCCUGGGGAGUACGGCCGCAAGGUUAAAACUCAAAGAAAUUGACGGGGGCCUGCACAAGCGGUGGAGCAUGUGGCUUAAUUCGAUGCAACGCGAAGAACCUUACCUGGGCUUGACAUGUUCGUCAUAGUCUCGUGAAAGCGGGACGUCAGUUCGGCUGGACGAUCACAGGUGCUGCAUGGCUGUCGUCAGCUCGUGUCGUGAGAUGUUGGUUUAAGUACCGCAACGAGCGCAACCCCUAUGUCCUGUUGCCACGGAGAACACGUUUCUCCAGCACUCUGGACAGACUGCCUCAUUUGCAUGAGGAGGAAGGUGGGGAUGACGUCAAGUCAGUAUGGCCCUUACCCCCAGGGCUGCACACGUGCUACAAUGCCCGGCAUAAUGGGAAGCAAAAUCGCGAGAUGGAGCAAAUCCUCAAAACCGGGCCCAGUUCGGAUUGGAGUCUGCAACUCGACUCCAUGAAGUCGGAAUCGCUAGUAACGGCGCAUCAGCUACGGCGCCGUGAAUACGUUCCCAGGCCUUGUACACACCGCCCGUCACAUCAUGAAAGCCGGGAGCACCCGAAGCCUGCGAUUACGUGGUCGAAGGUGAGCUUGGUAAUUGGGAUGAAGUCGUA
rnacentral:rRNA from 1 species